UCAUCAUCACCAUCACCCAAUCUAGUCUUUCGGGAGAUGUGCGCAUACCCGGGAGGCAGGAAGCUCCCGGAGGUGAAAUCGCUAAAUUCAGAUUUAAAACCCUCGGGAGACCAACAUCUCCCGAGGGUUUUUCAGU
rfam:Vibrio hepatarius strain DSM 19134 contig0019, whole genome shotgun sequence.